GAAAUGCGAUACGUAAUGUGAAUUGCAGAAAUACGUGAACCAUCGAAUCUUUGAACGCAUAUUGCGCUCGAGGCUUCGGCCAAGAGCAUGUCUGCCUCAGCGUCGCUUUACCCCCUCACCCCCCAUCCCUAUCUUGCUUGCAAGACAUGGUUGGGCAGUGGACCUGGCUCUCCCAGCAUGAUUCAGUUCAUUCUGGGUUGGCUGAAGUGCAGAGGUUGAUGCAUGGACCCGUUAUGGGCCUCGGCUGGGUAGGCAGCUUUGCUUGCUAUUGCUUUAGCCGUUGGCUUGGGACUGUGCCGUCGACCCAAACCAGGAAAGGGAGCUUUGGCAUCCUCACCCUAAUUUUCGACCUGAGCUCAGGCAAGAACACCCGCUGAACUUAA
rnacentral:misc_RNA from 1 species